rnacentral:rRNA from 1 species
GACGAACGCUGGCGGCGUGCCUAAUACAUGCAAGUCGAACGCUUCUUUCCUCCCGAGUGCUUGCACUCAAUUGGAAAGAGGAGUGGCGGACGGGUGAGUAACACGUGGGUAACCUACCCAUCAGAGGGGGAUAACACUUGGAAACAGGUGCUAAUACCGCAUAACAGUUUAUGCCGCAUGGCAUAAGAGUGAAAGGCGCUUUCGGGUGUCGUUGAUGGAUGGACCCGCGGUGCAUUAGCUAGUUGGUGAGGUAACGGCUCACCAAGGCCACGAUGCAUAGCCGACCUGAGAGGGUGAUCGGCCACACUGGGACUGAGACACGGCCCAGACUCCUACGGGAGGCAGCAGUAGGGAAUCUUCGGCAAUGGACGAAAGUCUGACCGAGCAACGCCGCGUGAGUGAAGAAGGUUUUCGGACCGUAAAACUCUGUUGUUAGAGAAGAACAAGGACGUUAGUAACUGAACGUCCCCUGACGGUAUCUAACCAGAAAGCCACGGCUAACUACGUG